GCUGGUAGUGAUGUUGUGCAGGCUUGCACUGAUUGCCUGUAAGAAUCAGAGCGGUCUCACUCAGAGAAUGCUGCAGGUACAAAGGUGUUUCCUGAGCCUUCUUGGAUGGUCCAGAAGAAACAGUAUAGACUUUCAAGAAGAGAAAGGAAAUCAGAGCAUUGAUCAGUGACUCUCAGAUUACUGAUAGGUCAUUUUCCGGUGCAACAGCGCCCCCUGCUGGACAUAGUCACCAAGCACAUUUUUCCCCUUUUUAAAAAGGAAACUACUCUUGUUACUGAUCCUGAGGUCCUGUCACUGUCCAUACUGAAGCCCCCAUUUUGAGAUGUGUUAACUGAGAUCCUGUGAUUAUUAAAAGAAGGGCACAAAAGUCCUUACUUGUCAAAUAGAAAUGUUACAUUCAAGAGCAAGCACAGUUGCCCUGGCUCUAGCAUUAUAUGGAUUUUUCAUGAAAAAGUAGCACCAAAAAUCCCUGUGGGGGAAAUUUUUUUCCAUACUUCACCACCUAAAGUAAAGCUCAAGUCACUGAGGGUUCCCUCAGUGCCUGGUCUGGCAUGCUGGUGGUUUGGCUAAGCUGAUGCCUUAUGGUGUCCAUGUUCAACCUAUUGCCAACUAUGCAGAAUCAAAAGGGGGCAUAGUCGAUCUGCUCAGUGACUGUGAGGAAGAAGUACAGGGGUAAGUACAGAGUUGAGUUAGAAAAAAAAACUGCAGCUCUGGGGUUGUGGUUUAAUGGAAGAGUGCUUGUCUAGCAUGUGUGAGGCACUGGGUUCAGUUUUCAGCACCAUGUAUAAAUAAAUGAACUAAAUAAAGGUCCAUCAAUGUCUAAAAAAAUAUUUAAAAAGAAAAAAAAGGCAUGCUCUGUGCUUGAAAUACAUGGCAGGAGGACCUUCCCCUACCACUUUCAUUGUUCAGGAGAAACAACAGGACAGCAUUAAACAAGUGCAGACAGAUCUGACACAACUGCUUGCCCCAAAGCAACUGAGGCUGUCAUUUAAAUGCAUCUACAUGUUAAAAGAUAUGUCCAGGGGAGGAGACCUAACACAAUUUUAGGUACCUUUUUAACUGUGUGCAUUGGUACAGCUGCAAUGAAAGAUUGCAAUGUAACUUAUGAAUAUGCUAAUUUCUAGUCCUCAAACAUACACUGCUGUUCACCUCUUAAUUUUCUUGCCAUUCCACCUAUGAGGUACCUACCUUUCCUCACCACUCUGCCAAUAGAACAAUCAUAUUUUCUUGCUAUUCUAUGAAGCAGACACCUUGCCUUGCUAUUCUGCCACCCUGCUAUGUGAAUCAAUGCAACAUAUAAUUCUUACUAACCUCUUUUGUUAGCUGAGUUUAAUUUCUAUCCUGCAUGAGCUAACAGACCCACAGAGCUGCUGACAGAACUCAAGGCGAUGCUGAUAGUCCUGAACAACACAGCCCAUGAUGAGCCUCGCAUUGUCACCAUCUUCUGCUAUUUCUAAUGGCUUAGAUGUCUUGUUCACAAGAUUGGAGCCCACAAAUUGUGGAAACAGAAUCAGCUGCCCAUCAGACAGCUUGGGUCACUGAUGGAGAUGCCCAUGAUUCAGCACUGCAGCCUCGCAAAACCAUCAUCUGGUCCAUCUGAGAUGAGCAGCAGCUUCAGCUGACAACCCGACGCCCUCUAAAUUGAUCAUGCUGCCCAGGUGAUAUGAAAACAGAGAAAUGCAUAUGGGCAAAGCCAGUUCUCAAUUAUUCAGUUGUGCCCUGUUAUGGCAGUUCCUGAAUAUGGAAGCUCCUCCAUGACGAAUGUACAACAACAUUCAGCACAACCUUGUUUCAAUCUGGUACAAAUGCAUGUGCUUUUCCUGUAACCCAAGUGGCCUUAGUUCAUGUAUAGUGACCAAAGCUGCAGCUAUUUGGUGACAUAUCCUAUGUGGCUGAACCAAACUAGUUUCAUGGUGAUCCAAAUCAAAUUCAGCUACCAAUCCUGAAUUGAAAUGAUAUGUUACUCUUUGGGGUUGUAUGUUUGUAUGUGGGGGUGUGGAUUGUCUCUCUAUUAGCCAUGGGGACUGACUUUUGACUCAUUAUUCCUUCCUAUAAUUAUUGUAGUGACAUCAAAGAUAAGCUAAAAAUCAUUUGUGCAUGUUGUAAUGGAGAAUGUCCUGGACUUAGACUAUAUCCUGGCUGUCUAAAAUAAGAUCUAAAUAUUCCCUUGGAAUAUAUUCAUAGGUGACCGGGACUGAAACCUUGGGUUGGCGUGAUUGAAGCUAAUACUGAAGAUUGGCUUCAUCUUACUAUCUGAAGUUCUCUUGAUAGUAGCCCUAAAUUCCAUAUGAAACAAAUUGAACAGAUGUGGGCCCAGCCUCUUGACCAUAUUAAUUGGAGUGGUGAAUGGAGUGACAUAUUGGUGUGAAUAUUCAAGUUUAGCCAAGAAUAUGUGGUGCCAACUGUUAGAGACAAGCUACCAUUGGCCCUGAACAUCCUUAAAUGUCCCAUUGGCCAUGUCCUAAUUUAGAUUUUUGCUCUUUCUUACCUGAACUGUUCCUACCCAACUCCAGAUACCACUAAAAGAUAUAAGUUUUGCCUGAAAUCUAUAAAUUGGAAGGUCCAGGUCCUUAAGAAGAAUACAGAAUUGUGAAUGCACAAUUACAUAUAACCAUCAGAAGAAACCCUGAAGGCAUCUUGGAAGGAGCCAGUGUGGAUGAGAUCCUAAAGACUAAACCUCAUGAAGAAUCAACCUCUGCCAGGCCCUCUCCCCACUUUACCCAGGAAAAGAAGAGGAAUAGGGCCUGGGGCUAUGGCUAAGUGGUAGCGCAUUGCAUGGCAUGUGUGAGGCACUGGGUUCGAUUCUCAGUACCACGUAUAAAUAAAUAAAAUAAAGAUCUAUCAACAACUAAAAAAAUAUUUAAAAAAAGAAGAGGAAUAGGCCCGUCCUACCCAUCCCCUGACACUCCCCUCACCCUUUACCUUGCCCUGCUCUACUUCAGGGGUGAUGGCUUCCUUUCCUGUUGCCUGCUGCCCCACCCACCCAUGAGCAAUCUGAGAAAGUGAUUGAUCUUGUUCCAUCAGUAAAAUACAUAUAUGUGGA